AGAUCCUGCUGGACUUCUAAUCAAGAUGGAGUGGUGAGUUCUCUGUUCUAACCAGUGAUGAAUAAAACAUUCUAAUAUAUAACCCAACACACAGAGUUGGGCUCAGAAACAAGGUGAACUUUCUGUGAGCCAGAAGCAGAACAGAGCCCAAAAUCACUGCGUGGGAAACGUGACGGAGGUGCUGCUGGGCUCUGGGUCCCAAAGGAUUGUUAAAAAAGGCAGGAGCACAGUUACCUUUGAAAGGACCGGAAGGAACACUAGGGGCCUUCUAGAGGUCAGUAGUAUGCUUUUCUUGCUCUGGGUUUGAUGUAGGAUAGAAGGAAUUUAUAAAUAGAUAGAAAAGAGACAUAAAGGAAGGACAAGGAAAUAAGAUUUUAGUUUAGAAGUUUCACAUACUUUUCCAGGCAUGUCACUCACUAAGGCAGUCUUCCUUCCAGGCCUGUUACUCCCAAAUUCCUGGAAAACCUGUAAGUCUACCUGUGCACUGUUAAUUAGCCCUUCCCCCAAAAAAAUACACCAACAAAGAGAUAAGCUAUCUUGAGGAACCUAUAAUUUAGGGGACUUUGCAGCAGUCCCUAUUGAUCAGAUAAUGAAGACCAUCGCAGCCUGAGGAUCCUGAGAAUGAACAGACCACCAGGACCCACCUUGAGAUCACCAGACUGAUAUCAUUUCUACUUACCUUUCCAUACCUACUCUUCAACAAGUUUCCUUUCAAAGAAAUCCCAGGAACCCUUAAAAUAUGUUUCUCACUCUCCCUUCAAUGUGUAUUCCUUGUUUUACCCCAACGGCAUCCCUCUCUUGAGAUUGCCCUCAUUCUCCCUUGAAUAUGUACCUGCUUUCCUAAAUCAACCUCUGUCUAUGCCUCCAACUGGUGGGUGCUGAAAUUAUUUCUCAUCACAUACGUCAAGAACCUCACUGUUGCUGGAUGCAGUGGCACAUGCCUGUAAUCCCAGUGGCUCGGGAGGCUGAGAAAGGAAGAUCUCAAGUUCAAAGCCAGCGUCAGCAAAAGCAAGGGGCUAAGCAACACAGUGAGACCCUGUCUCUAAAUAAAACACAAAAUAGAGCUGGGGAUGUGGCUCAGUGGUCAAG
rnacentral:lncRNA from 1 species